CCAUCUGUGUCUGUCUCUGGGUCUCCUUUUCCACACGGACACAAGAUUAGGUGGCUCCCAGGUCACCAGGUCUCAGGAAAGGAGCGUCGAGGAGUGGAACGUAUCCCUCUGUGAAACGCAGCGCGCGGGUGUUGGCGCCUGAUUGUGGGUGAACGUGUAUUGCGCACCGCGGUUGUGGAGGGUUGGUAAUGUGCGCUGGUUGUGCGUGUGCGAGGUAUGUCGUGUGGGUGUCAGAUGCUUGUUCUGUGUGCCGCGCGUGUCGGUCUGGUGUGUAAUUCGGGGCGCUGUGCUCAUGAUGCCUGCGUCUGCGCCUGUAGGCUGGAGGGAGCAAGGUCGGAGGCGCUCUUGGAGAGCAGGGCUUGAGGCCGCGGGAGGGCGCUGUGGAGGAGCAGCGGGGUGACGCGGGCUCCUCCGGGGCCUGUGGAGACCGCUGUGUGCCCGCAGGGGACUCAAGCUAGCGUGGAGCGCUAGGGAUUUCCGGGAGUCAGUGGGGGCGCGGGAAGCCUUGGGGAGGGGCGCUUGGUGGGGGUUCUUGGGGGCAUCCGUGGCAGGGACUGUCCCCCGCCUGCGGUGGUGCAAGCAAGUGGCAGAGAGGGCGGGACGGAGCCAGGGAGGCCGCGCGGCCCCGGGGCCCGGCCAGGCAGGCGCCAGCCGCCGAGUUGAAAGGCUGCCGCGGCUUCUGCUCGCUGCUUCCCAUUGCGCCCCCGAGGCUUGCGGGAGGAGUACAGACCUGGACCCAGCUGGGCUCACCUCGGGGUCUGAGGUCACGAAAGGGGACACAACAGUGGGAUGGGCGCUCGGGUCUCCGCCUCGCGAGUGUCUGUGUUCAGAACUUGAGCGGAGAAGCAAACCCUAAAACGAACUUUCCAGUCUCUUCGAUCCAGCCUUGUGGGUCAGAUGCUGGGACCCCGCAGACCUGAACCGAACUGGGAGGCCCGGACACGCGCUGACCUCGCUCUUGCCCAAAGUAUCCAGGCCAAGGGAGCCUGGGUUCUCCUGCAGCACAGGCAGAAUCGCAGUCCACAGCCCGCGGCUCCCCUGCAAGGCUGCGCAUGCGGGGAGAAUGUGGCCGGGGCGUCACCCCGCACCAGUGUCACCUACACCAGCAUGCGGCCCGCAGCCAGCCAGCAUUUAUUGAGCGCCUUUUGUGAGCACACUUUGUGGAGAAAAGGUAUUCCGAGCGGGGGUGGGGGAAUGAAAGGGCCAGAGGAGAAGGAAUUCAAAACAAAACAAACAAAAAACCAAAAAUCAAAGAAAAAAAAAAAAACGCCGCUGCCGAGGUCGAGGGGAAACUUAUCAAGGGGCAGAGGCGCGCGCUGGCGGGGCCCCCUGGGUAGCCGGGCCCUUUCCACGCUGACCGGGACCCGGUGCGCAGGGGGCGGGGAAGCGCGCCCGCCUCGCCUGCAGCUACCGCCUCGCUGGAGCCGCGGCGCGUCUGCAGAGAGCGAACCGUUGCUCAUUACCGCAAUUAUGUUGCUCUAAAUUUGCCUCGACCCUAAAUUACCAAACUCAGAGGAGCCGCGAGGCCCCAGAGCUCGGCUGAGGGGGACACCCGAUCCCGCCCUGCCAUUUUUCUAUACCCAAGAAGCAGAAAGGAUUCCAGCGCUGCAAACGUGAUCCGUGGAGCUGAGAAAUCUCAGGUCUGGUCGGCGCUAGGAGGCUCCCUGGGACGGCGGGAGAGCCGCAGGCCCAUUCCGCAGACCAAGGCUGCCCAGGACUUUCCUGUGUGGAGUUUGCUUGCAAAAGCCGCCCAGCAGACAGAGGCUGAGGAAGAGGGGUGCACAUAUUUGGUGAGAAUUAAACGAGCCUCCCAACACUAUGGAGAACCCAGAGGUAUGGGGAACAUAAUGGGCUUUAUUGACUGUCUCCCACGUCUUUGCCGAAUUCCUGCCAACAGGCCUGACUUGGUAGUUGUUCGAAUACUGUAUGUUCUCCCUGGAGCUUGAACUUAUUAAGUAAAAGAAAAGCCAAGUUUGUGAGCACUGUGGAGCAGGGCCUUGCUAAGAGAUUGCCAAGGUGAGAGGAGUCUACGGAGGCCCGAGGUUUCCUGGGAACUCUGAUGUCCCUAGGCCAUGUGAUUCUGCUUUUGUCAUGGGGAUUGCAGUAGGGGUGCAAAGGCACUAUCAUCUGGCAGCUCAAAAGUGGUUCCACAAACUUUCCACCCUGGCAACGACUUAGAGGCAAAGCCAUUUCUUCUCUCCUCUGGCCUCCUGUGGGAAAACCAGGUUGGGAGGGAGGUGGGAACCGGCUCGUUCAGCUGCCUACAGCCAGGGACCAUUCUGGGAGUUCACUUUGUUUUCACAGACAGGUUAAAAGGGGAGGGAAGAUAAAGAGUCAGUUAUGGGUCGCCUGAGCAAGUGUCUAUUUCAGCUUGAAGUGAAUGGGAAAUGGAAAAUUGAGCCUCAUUAUUCUAGAUAAUUGCCCCAAUUCUCCACUUGACUUUGCUAAGGUAUUCUGUCCUGUGUGCUCCAAAUGACACCUGCUGCUGUGUGCCUGCAAUCCUGUCACCUCUGAAAGCUGCUGUGUAAAGCUAUCGUGAAACUGCAAAAGCAACUGUACAUGUGAAGAAGUAAAAUUAAAAUGCAAGACUGAAUCAGUGAAGAGAUCA